GAUGAACGCUGGCGGCGUGCUUAACACAUGCAAGUCGAACGAAGCACUGUUGAUAGAUUCUUCGGAUGAUAGAUACAGUGACUGAGUGGCGGACGGGUGAGUAACGCGUGGGUAACCUGCCUCAUACAGGGGGAUAACAGUUAGAAAUGACUGCUAAUACCGCAUAAGCGCACAGGACCGCAUGGUCUGGUGUGAAAAACUCCGGUGGUAUGAGAUGGACCCGCGUCUGAUUAGCUAGUUGGUGGGGUAACGGCCCACCAAGGCGACGAUCAGUAGCCGACCUGAGAGGGUGACCGGCCACAUUGGGACUGAGACACGGCCCAAACUCCUACGGGAGGCAGCAGUGGGGAAUAUUGCACAAUGGGCGAAAGCCUGAUGCAGCGACGCCGCGUGAGCGAAGAAGUAUUUCGGUAUGUAAAGCUCUAUCAGCAGGGAAGAAAAUGACGGUACCUGACUAAGAAGCACCGGCUAAAUACGUGCCAGCAGCCGCGGUAACAC
rnacentral:rRNA from 1 species